rnacentral:lncRNA from 1 species
AACAAAGCCAUGCAGAAGAACAGUCCUUCUGCACAAUCAUCACCCUUUUCUGCUUCUUGUGAUCGCAAUGAAGGUUCCUCUGGCAACUCCAGAUCAAGCAUCUCGCCUAGUGAGCAUUUGGUCUGGUCUAACCCCAGUGGUUCUUACCCGGGUUCAGGCCAAACCAACCCAGGAUCGAGUACCAACUCUCCUCCCCUGCCAGCUUCUGGAAGGGGCCUCUCUACUCCAUGUCUUUCUGGAGCCUCCCCUACCCUGCUGGCAUUUCCUCUUUCCCAUCCCUGGCGAAAGACAGGACUCUGUCUUGAAGUCAUCGGUGUGCUGCCACAAACAUUCCAACAGGUACUUCCAACUCAUAGUCUCCUGCACUUAUCCAUUUCCCUGACUAUGUCUCCUCUGCAUCCUGUCAUCUUAAGGAAACCGAUAUUGGUGAACAUGUUGAUAUGUGGCAUUUCUAUUUGAUUGGUUAUGUUGCUGGGAAAUUCCCAGGCUUUGCAUCUCUGUCCAAUUUUCAUUAGCAAAAACUAGUAACAUAAAGCUAAUUUUACAAUGCAUGAUUCUGGCUGGUUAAUCUUUGCCUUCAAAACUGAAAUGGAAAUGUUGGAUAUUCUGGGUGGAGGCCCUCACUAUGUGUUUGGCCGGCCUCUCAUCUUGAAAGUUAUGCCAGAUUUUUUUGAUUUUCAAGCCACUAAUAUGACAAAAACGCCAACUUGGCUAAGAUUCCUAAAUUUACCUCUAAGAUGCUGGACUUCAAUCUACCUUUCAAAGCUUACUGGCAUUAUUGGGAAGCCAAUCCAUUGCGAUGAUCCUACUGCAAAUAUGACCCCGCUUUCGUAUGCCAGGGUCCUUAUUGAGGUCGACUUGCUCUUAGACCCGCCAACUUUUGUAAAUGUGGUUCUACCCAAUGGCACAUCUCUCUCCCAACAGGUUAUGUAUGAAUUUCUUCCCUGUUUUUGCAAAAGAUGUUGGGUCCUUGGACAUUCUGUUUCCACAUGCAAUAAAGAAGCCAGUUCAAAAUGUAAAAACCAGCCUCAUGAUGCUCUUACCUACUCUGGCAAUUCCAGUCCAUCUGCAGAGACUGCAGCUGUUGAGAAGCAACAACCAUUUAGUGCAGUCCCUCCUACAGAUCCCCCAGUUAAUCUUAUGUUCACUGAAGUUGUCACAGCUGGUGAAACGAGGCCUACAUCUCCUGGUCGUAAAAGGACCAAAAUUGCUGAGGCAGAGCAUUCUGGUUCCAAGCAAUCUGCUACCCCAAAAGUUGUACACAUCUCUGAAGAAGGUGAUGCUGCUGAUGUGGAGCCUCCCAAGAGGCAGUAUUUAACUAGAAGCAGAGCUGCUGCCACCACCAGAUUGGGUCAACAGGAGAAACAGAAAUCCAAGGCCCCUAAUGUACUGGGUAAGCAGGAGAAAUUCAAGGCCCCUGUCGUAGCUGACCUCAUGCUCCAGAGCAGUUCUGAUGACUCUCCUCCAACAUUUUCUUUAUCAUUUCCUAAUUUGUUUCAUUGUAUUGUGGAUCUCUAUUUGAUAUGGAGGUUGUUCCCUUGUUAUUUAUAUUGUUAUGUACCGGUUACUCAGCAAUAUGUCUUGUCGCUCAAGUCCUAGCUGUCUAGUUUAUUCUCUUGCUGCUUUUUUAGCUUGUCCUUGUAUUCUGGCUAGCAGCGAUACUGUGUUAGAUGGCUUUCUCUUUCUUUAUGUAGGCUCCCUGCUUGUUUCCUUGCUGCUUGGUUGUUUAGCUUUGCUGUUGUAUCAGGUUGUGCUCUGUUGUGCAGUCAUGCUG